UACGUAGGGGGCAAGCGUUGUCCGGAAUCAUUGGGCGUAAAGAGCGUGUAGGCGGCUCGGUAAGUCCGCUCUGAAAGCCCGGGGCUCAACCCCGGGAGGCGGGCGGAUACUGUCGGGCUAGAGUCCGGAAGAGGCGAGUGGAAUUCCUGGUGUAGCGGUGAAAUGCGCAGAUAUCAGGAGGAACACCAAUGGCGAAGGCAGCUCGCUGGGACGGUACUGACACUGAGACGCGAAAGCGUGGGGAGCAAACAGG
rnacentral:rRNA from 1 species